rnacentral:rRNA from 1 species
UAAGUCUCCUGAAGGAACGUUGAAGACGACGACGUUGAUAGGCCGGGUGUGUAAGCGCAGCGAUGUGUUGAGCUAACCGGUACUAAUGAACCGUGAGGCUUAACCUU